GUGAGUGGAAAUGUGUGCCUCUUGCAAAUAGAAGCUUUAGAGCAGUAGCAUGGUUCCUUCAUUUUCUUUUUCCCUUUACUAUGAGAUCAUCAUGUUGUAGAUAGCGGCUGCCCUUUGGCCUGGCUCCAGAACAAAGAGUAUUUGGAGUAGAACUGAAGUUGACCCAUAAUGGACAAGAGAUAUGAGUGAGAAAUAAACAGUUGCUGUUGUAAGUCUCUGAGAUUUGCGGGUUGAUUGUUACUGUAAUAAAGCCUAGUGUAAGCUGAUUCAUAUGUCCACUUACAAAGUGUUCCAGUUACCCAUUGCUGCUGACAGUCCACCCCAAAAUUAGUGGCUUAAAAUAACAAUCAUUUAGUUUGCUUACAAAUCUGCAACUUAGGCAGGAUUGGAGGGUGGAGGGACUUGCAGACAGCUUCUCUCAGCUCCAUGAAUCAUUAACUAGUGCAGUUUAGUGGCUGAGGGCUGGAACCAUAAAAUCGCUCACUCUUCUCUCACUCACGCACUCACUCACUCACUCAUUCACGUGUCUGGUGGUUGAGUCUGGCUGUCACCUGGGAUCUCAGCUCGACUGUGGCCAGAACAUCAACGUGCAGUGGUCUCAUUUUGGCUGUUUAUCUUCCUCACAGCAUUGCGGAUGUGUCUUCACAGCAAGCACCCCAAAAGAAGCAAGCAGAAGCUCCGUCGCUUGUACGACGUAGCCUUAGAAGUCACAUAAGUCAUUUCUACGUAAUAGCUCAAAUCCUCAAAAAAAAUAGUCUGUUGGUCAGAGUUCUCCAGAGAAACAGAAUCAAUAGGAUACACAUAAUGAGAGAGAGAGUUUUAAGGAAGUGGCUCAUGCAGUUGUGGGGGCUGGCGUGUCUGAAACCUGCAGGGCAGGUAGGCAGGAAUCUAUGUCCCAGAUUUGAGUCUGACAGCAAUCUAGAGGCAGAAUUCUUUUAGAUUUAAGCCAGAUGUUGCAAAUUCCCCAGAAGAAAUACAGCUCUAACCACACAAGAGGGAUUAUCAGUUCUUUUUGUGGCUCAAAAACAACAAAAAAUCUGUUCACAGGCGUUAGUGAAAAGCAGCUAUUUUACAAAAAACUUCAUAGGCAGGUGGAGCAGCGGAGGUUUAUAAUGCACAUUUAACUGAAGAUACUCCAGUCACAAUAAAUAAAUCAAAUCAAUUUCAUGGGAAAGAAAAUAAAAUUCUUGCAGAAUGUAGAGGUAAGGGAAAAAGUGAUUUGAAAAGUUGAAAGGAGAAGAUAAAUAUUUGUCACUAAAAUAACCUUAGAGUUGUGGUUAAUAUACUCAGACAUUAAAUAAUAAUUUAUUUAAUUAUUUAUAUAAUAUAUAUUUUAUUACAUAUAAAUUAAUAAAUAUAUUUCUAUAUUUAAUAACUAAAUUUAUUUAAUCCAAUCAUUUAAUAAAACAACCUAGGUAGGAAUUACAGAGUAUCGUCUAACCAUAUCAUGUGACAAAUUUGAAAGAAGUUCAGAAAGAUAUGAGGAUAUACUUGAACCCAGAGUUUAGGGUUUUAAAGCUAAACCCAUAGGGUGAAUAUUAAUUUGGAAUCUUCCAUUGUCUUCAUAAUUAGUCAAAAAGAAUGUGUGUGUGUUGGGGGGAGGAGUGUUAGUGUUUCUGUCCGUGGCUCAAGGAGACUCACCUUGGAAUUGUGUAGUCCCCAGUUCUUCACACUGGUCCCAAACUUUUGACUGAUAAAUAACUGCACUAAAGUCAUCAAUUGUCAACCCAGAAAGUGCAGCUUGUGGAGAUGGUAACUUCAAUUCACCUUGAAGCACAGGAGGACACCAGCCCCACGCAGCUGGCAGCCCAGGGGUCAUACCUUCUAUCCUCACAUCAGCAGACCGAGACCUCUGCUCUGGAGCUUGGGCACCUUUGGGAGGCUGAGCUGGAGCCAGAAGUGGGACUGGAGCUACAACUGCAGCCUGGGUCUUGAUUUGAGCCUUGGCCUUGGCCUUUGGCCGGCAGAGCCUGAGACCCUUGGUGACGUAGGCAGAGCACACUUCCCGAGCUUCAGGUGGCUAAUGUAGGCAAGUUGAUUGAACUUGUGACAGACACCCUUUGGAUCAUGAACUUCACCUUGUUGGGCUCUAACAGGGCCUUGACAGCCUCAGCAUGCACACUCAUGGCCUUGAAGUUGUUGGCCUGCAUCUUCUUCAGACCCUUCUUCUGAGGGUUCUGGUUUUCUUAAUGCAAAUAAUUUUUUAUCCCUUGAAAAUUAAUUCUAAAGUAUAAAUUGAAUAUGUGAACUUACUACUUGUGUGUUGGGUUUUAGAAUAAGUUUUGUAAUCAGUAGACUAGCCUCCCAGCAUUUGAAUGUAAAGUGUUUGCAGUGUUUAAGAGAUUCUGACAAAUAAGCCUGCAUAGAUUCCUAAUAAAUUGUGUAAUUGAUUUUAGAGUUUUGGACUUAAGUUGAAAGUUGUAAAAUAAUUUGCCCAAGUAUUUAAACUGUCUUGGUAAUUUGUUUAAGGUAUUUUGAAAUUAACUAUGUUUUUAAGUUAAUUCAUUAGGCAUAUGAUUGUUUCAGUACUGGGGAAAAACUUGAUAGUUGGGGUUGCAAAUUUUAAAGUUUUUGUAAGAGAACUGAACAUAAUACUUAUAAAUGCACUUAAAUAUUUAAAUAACUUAAUUUACUGUUUGUAAAUAGUUUAAUAUGUUUGAAUUGAGGUUAUCAAACAUUAAUCAAAGGCUCUCCCAGAGGUAGUGGUUCUUAUUUUACGUAACAUGCACUUGGUUGAUAAAUUUACAAGACUGACAAAAGAUGGAAAGGCUUACAGUAAACUAGGUUUCUGAAUUUUUACUUUAGUAAAUGGAAUAUUAAUUUACAACCCAAGUAGCUUUAAGCAGCUUAUUUAAACUUGAAAUUCUCCCAUGAAGACAGAAAUUGACAUUGAUAAUCAGGAGACCAGAGACUAAAUUUCCAAUUUAACAAGUAUAAGAAUGAUUCCAAGUCAGAAACCAUUACAAUUGGAAUCAAAGUUACAUCACACAUGACUGAAUUAAACUCUCCCAAGUUGGAUAAAUAGUUGAAAUGUAGGGCUAGCCAUGUUCAGAAGUUUUUCUUCUAUUUCUGCUUUAUUCUCAGUGCUGAAAAUGUGUUUCUGGCACUACAUGCUUCAUUCCAUUCGUUGGUUAGAAUCCCUUACCGUUUUUUGAGUAUAACUUGUAAUAAUCCUCCUGGCGAUACUCUAUCAAGUAACUCUCUAUCAACAGUAGCUUAGCUCUAUACAUAACCUCAGGUACUGGUCUGUAUGAUUACAAAGAAGAGAUGUAUAAUUUUAAUUGCCGAAGAACUUGCAAAAUUAUUUUUAUAACAAAAAAGUUGUAUUGAUUUGAGUCAUGGAUCACCUUAUUUCCUUUUUUAAUUGUCAAGAAACUAAUAAAACAUUUAGAGAGAAAUAUUCUCCUUCAUCAAGGUCUUUUCUAUAUUGUGUCCCUUUGAAGACCAAAGAAUGUGUUAAGUAAGCUUAAAUUAUCAGUAAUAUCUUUAAAUAUGCAUAUAAAAAAUAUAUGGUAAUGUGCUAAAAUGUUAACUCUGAGUAGAAUAUUCUGUGUAAUUUAGCUUUUUAUGCAUUUUGUAUUAUUGUUGAAAUUAUCUCAUAAAUGUAUAUUUUCAUAAUCUGAACAAAUUAACAUUUAAAAAAUUGAUG
rnacentral:lncRNA from 1 species